GCACAAGCGGUGAGCAUGUGGUUUAAUUCGAAGCAACGCGAAGAACCUUUACCAGGUCUUGACAUCCCGAUGCUAUUUCUAGAGAUAGAAAGUUACUUCGGUACAUCGGUGACAGGUGGUGCAUGGUUGUCGUCAGCUCGUGUCGUGAGAUGUUGGGUUAAGUCCCGCAACGAGCGCAACCCCUAUUGUUAGUUGCCAUCAUUCAGUUGGGCACUCUAGCGAGACUGCCGGUAAUAAACCGGAGGAAGUGGGAUGACGUCAAAUCAUCAUGCCCCUUAUGACCUGGGCUACACACGUGCUACAAUGGUUGGUACAACGAGUUGCGAGUCGGUGACGGCGAGCUAAUCUCUUAAAGCCAAUCUCAGUUCGGAUUGUAGGCUGCAACUCGCCUACAUGAAGUCGGAAUCGCUAGUAAUCGCGGAUCAGCACGCCGCGGUGAAUACGUUCCCGGGCCUU
rnacentral:rRNA from 1 species